CCUACGGGUGGCAGCAGUCGAGAAUCAUUCACAAUGGGGGAAACCCUGAUGGUGCGACGCCGCGUGGGGGAAUGAAGGUCUUCGGAUUGUAAACCCCUGUCAUGUGGGAGCAAAUUAAAAAGAUAGUACCCCAAGAGGAAGAGACGGCUAACUCUGUGCCAGCAGCCGCGGUAAUACAGAGGUCGCAAGCGUUAUUCGGAAUCACUGGGCGUAAAGCGUUCGUAGACUGUUUCGUAAGUCGGGUGUGAAAGGUGCGGGCUCAACCCGCGGACGGCACAUGAUACUGCGAGACUAGAGUAAUGGAGGGGGAAGCGGAAUUCGCGGUGUAGCAGUGAAAUGCGUAGAUAUCGAGAGGAACACUCGUGGCGAAGGCGGGUUCCUGGACAGUAACUGACGCUGAGGCACGAAGGCGAGGGGAGCGAAAGGGAUUAGAUACCCUGGUAGUC
rnacentral:rRNA from 1 species